rnacentral:rRNA from 1 species
UACAGAGGGGGCAAGCGUUGUUCGGAAUUACUGGGCGUAAAGGGCGCGUAGGCGGCCUACUAAGUCGAACGUGAAAUCCCUGGGCUCAACCCAGGAACUGCGUCCGAUACUGGGAGGCUUGAAUCCGGGAGAGGGAUGCGGAAUUCCAGGUGUAGCGGUGAAAUGCGUAGAUAUCUGGAGGAACACCGGUGGCGAAGGCGGCAUCCUGGACCGGCAUUGACGCUGAGGCGCGAAAGCCAGGGGAGCAAACGGG